rnacentral:sRNA from 1 species
GGUGGGUCCUCGGGAGGAAGGGGAUGGGGAGGCGGUGCUGCCUCAGGGCUCUGACCGGGACGCCUGGGGCCCAGCGCUGCUGUGCGCCUGCAGUGCUGAGGAUCCCUCUGUCUUGACCCCACCCUCCAGGGGCACAGGACGACCUGAGGAAGGUCACCCGUAUUGCCUACUCCAUGGUGAAGCAGUUUGGGAUGGCACCUGGCAUCGGGCCCAUCUCCUUCCCUGAGGCCCAGGAGGGCCUCAUGGGCAUCGGGCGGCGCCCCUUCAGCCAAGGCCUGCAGCAGAUGAUGGACCAUGAAGCAAGACUGCUGGUGGCCAAGGCCUACAGACACACGGAGAAGGUGCUGCAGGACAACCUGGACAAGCUGCAGGCGCUGGCAAACGCCCUUCUGGAAAAGGAAGUGAUAAACUAUGAGGACAUUGAGGCUCUCAUUGGCCCACCGCCCCAUGGGCCGAAGAAAAUGAUCGCACCGCAGAGGUGGAUCGACGCCCAGAGGGAGAAACAGGACUUGGGAGAGGAGGAGACCGAAGAGACCCAGCAGCCCCCACUUGGAGGCGAAGAGCCGACUUGGCCCAAGUAGUUGGGACGUGUUGGCCGCAUGUGCGGGUGGUCCGGGAAGUGAGGGCUCACUCAGCCACCCUGAGUUGCUUUUCAGCUGAGUUUGCAUUUCCUCUCACGGCCCUCAGUAGUCCCUGCACAGUGACUUCUGAGAUCUGUUUAUUGAUGACCCUUUUCAUGAUUUUAAGUUUCUCUGCAGAAACUACUGACGGAGUCCUGUGUUUGUGAGUCGUUUCCCCCAUGGGGAAGGUUAUCAGUGCUUUCCCGAGUGAGCGUGGAACACCUCGAGUUCCCAGGGUUAUGGACAGUCAUUCCCAGUGUGGCUGAGGCCACCCAGAGGCAGCAGAGCAUU